rnacentral:rRNA from 1 species
CACGUAGGCACCAAGCGUUGUCCGGAUUUAUUGGGCGUAAAGAGCUCGUAGGCGGUUCGGUAAGUCGGGUGUGAAAACUUUGGGCUCAACCCAAAGCCUGCACUCGAUACUGCUGUGACUUGAGUCCGGUAGGGGAGUGGGGAAUUCCUGGUGUAGCGGUGGAAUGCGCAGAUAUCAGGAGGAACACCGGUGGCGAAGGCGGGUCUCUGGGCCGUAACUGACGCUGAGGAGCGAAAGCAUGGGGAGCGAACAGG